GAUGAAGAACGCAGCGAAAUGCGAUAAGUAGUGUGAAUUGCAGAAUUCAGUGAAUCAUCGAAUCUUUGAACGCACAUUGCGCCCCAUGGUAUUCCGUGGGGCAUGCCUGUUCGAGCGUCAUUUACCCCCUCAAGCUCCGCUUGGUGUUGGGCGUCUGUCCCGCUUCGCGCGCGGACUCGCCCCAAAGGUAUUGGCAGCGGUCGUGCCAGCUUCUCGCGCAGCACAUUGCGCUUCUCGAGGCACCGGUGGGCCCGCGUCAAUCAAGCUCACCCCCCCAGUUUGACCUCGGAUCAGGUAGGGAUACCCGCUGAACUUAAGCAUAUCAAUAAGCGGAGGA
rnacentral:misc_RNA from 1 species